UCACACAGAGUAGAACAGAUAUAGGGAAAAAUCCAUUCGCGAAGGCACUAGAGAAUUAAGAAUGCCAUGAUUUCUUCCCUUUUCCUUCACUUUAGUCUUCCAACAGUGCUUCCCUUGGUUGAAACCACAUGGUAACCAUUGAGCAGAAGAACCUAGGAAAUACAGUUUUCAGAACAGCAAGGAGAAAGCUGAAGAAUAAAAAAGGGGAAAGAGGGUUGCCAAUUAUAGUUGAUUUGACAUGAAUAUGAGUCUUCUGUUGCUUCCUAAAAACAAAUAGCACUCUCAAAACCAUUUCUAUCUUACACCUUCAGAGAAGCCAGCCUUCAUUAAAGACUGAAUGAAGUAAAAUAAAGACUUAACACAGACUGGCAAAUUGGAUAAAGAGUCAAGACCAAUCAGUGUGUUUUAUUCAGGAGACCCAUCUCACGUGCAGAGACACACAUAGGCUCAAAAUAAAGGGAUGGAGGAAGAUCUACCAAGCAAAUGGAAAACAAAAAAAGGCAGAGGUUGCGAUCCUAGUCUCUGAUAAAACAGACUUUAAACCAACAAAGAUCAAAAGAGACAAAGAAGGCCAUUACAUAAUGGUAAAGGGAUCAAUUCAACAAGAAGAGCUAACUAUCCUAAGUAUAUAUGCACCCAUUACAGGAGCACCCAGAUUUAUAAAGCAAGUCCUUAGAGACCAACAAAGAGACUUAGACUCCCACACAAUAAUAAUGGGAGAUUUUAACACCCCACUGUCAACAUUAGACAGAUCAACGGGACAGAAAGUUAACAAGGAUAUCCAGGAAUUGAACUCAGCUCUGCACCAAGCAGACCUAAUAGACAUCUACAGAACUCUCCACCCCAAAUCAACAGAAUAUACAUUCUUCUCAGCAACACAUCACACUUAUUCCAAAAUUGACCACAUAGUUGGAAGUAAAGCACUCCUCAGCAAAUAUAAAAGAACAGAAAUUAUAACAAACUGUCUCUCAGACCACAGUGCAAUCAAACUAGAACUCAGGAUUAAGAAACUCACUCAAAACUGCUCAACUACAUGGAAACUGAACAACCUGCUCCUGAAUGACUACUGGAUACAGAACAAAAUGAAGGUGGAAAUAAAGAUGUUCUUUGAAACCAAUGAGAACAAAGAUACAACAUACCAGAAUAUCUGGGACACAUUUAAAGCAGUGUGUAGAGGGAAAUUUAUAGCACUAAAUGCCCACAACAGAAAGCAGGAAAGAUCUAAAAUUGACACCCUAACAUCACAAUUGAAAGAACUAGGAAGCAAGAGCAAAGACAUUCAAAAGCUAGCAGAAGGCGAGAAAUAACUAAGAUCAGAGCAGAACGGAAGGAGAUAGAGACACAAAAAACUCUUCAAAAAAUCAGUGAAUCCAGGAGCUGGUUUUUUGAAAAGAUCAACAAAAUUGAUAGACUGCUAACAAGACUAAUAAAGAAGAAA